rnacentral:sRNA from 1 species
UACUGAUUGUCCUACUCAAAUAUUCCACC